rnacentral:rRNA from 1 species
UACGGGGGGGGCAAGCGUUGUUCGGAAUUACUGGGCGUAAAGGGCUCGUAGGCGGCCAACUAAGUCGGACGUGAAAUCCCCAGGCUCAACCUGGGAACUGCGUCCGAUACUGGAUGGCUUGAAUUCGGGAGAGGGAUGCAGAAUUCCAGGUGUAGCGGUGAAAUGCGUAGAUAUCUGGAGGAAUACCGGUGGCGAAGGCGGCAUCCUGGACCGAAAUUGACGCUGAGGCGCGAAAGCCAGGGGAGCAAACGGG